AUUGAACGCUGGCGGCAGGCCUAACACAUGCAAGUCGAACGAGUGGCGGACGGGUGAGUAAUGUCUGGGAAACUGCGCGACGGAGGGGGAUAACUACGGGAAACGGUAGCUAAUACCGCAUAACCGCGGAUGUGCCCAGGUGGUCUUGGCUAGUUGGUGGGGUAACGGCUCAACUGGGCGACGAUCCCUAGCUGGUCUGAGCGGAUGACCAGCCACGCUGGGACUGAGACACGGCCCAGACGCCUACGUGCGGCAGUAGUGGGGAAUAUUUCACUAUGGGCGCAAGCCUGAUGCAGCCAUGCCGCGUGUAUGAAGAAGGCCUUAGGGUUGUAAAGUACUUUAAGCGGCGAGGCGUUACUCGCAGAAGAAGCACCGGCUAACUCCGUGCCAACAGCCGCGGUAAUAC
rnacentral:rRNA from 1 species